CGGAGCGCUCGGGAGCUCGGGGCUGGUGGGGGCUGUGAGUACGGGGGGAGCUUCUCCUCCUCCGGGCACGGAGCGGGGCGCUGGAGCUGCCCGCGGCUGUGGCGCCGCGUCCUGCAGCGGGCGGUCCCCAGCGGGGCUGGCGGGACCAGCGGGACUGCGGGCGGCGGUUCCAGAGCCGAGCGGCUCCUCCUCGCUCGGUGCCCGUGGGAAGAGGCCGGAGCCUCAGCGUUUGGUUCAGAGGAGCCCUGUAGGCCUGUGUUCGUACCGGGCAGGGCCGCUGGGCUGAAGCGGGAGCUGGGCUCCUGUGCCCGGGGGAGCUCGGACCGGGCGCUGUAGGCGUUCCUCCAGGAGGCGAGCGCUGCCUUCCCUGCGGGCCUGCCCCUUCAGCUCCGUCUGGCACUGCCGCAACUGGCGCGGCUCAAUCACAACUGGGAAGCUUUGUACAGUAUGUGGAAGGCAAGACACGGUUGUUUGGAUUUUUCUAUGUUGAAGUAGAACUUACAGCAUUAUUUGACUCAGUGACCAACAUGUAAUUUUCUGCACCAGAAGACAAGAAGGAAACAGCAGUUGUUAAGAAAUAAGCCAUGCCUGCUGCAGCUGAUGUAACUGUGGGGGACCUGCCUGUGAGACAUACAGGUCUAACUCCAGCUGGAACUGAAGGAUUACAAGAAUCAUGAACUGCACAGAAUAUGAAAGCUCAAUGAGCCAGGUAACAAACCAGCCAAGAAGAACUGGAGGACAGGUUUCCUCAUGUACAUGAUGAUCACAUCUUACUCCAGCAGCAUAAAAAUGAGCAAGAGGAAAAAACUAAAAGCAUUCCUUGCCAAAACCCUUUUAACUAGAAGUUUGGAAUGAAUUUGCAGUAGAAGAACAUUGAAAAAACUCCAUGUAAACAAAAAACCUGCUUACAGGACUGAACUGAGGGUUUAAUGUUGAUGAGAGCACCAGGAGUGCCACCUUCCCCCAGCCAUGCCUUCAGUUACUUGGAUCAAGAGUGUCUCCUGUUGACCACACUGGGAAUAUAUACACUAAAUACUGCCAGGGAGACAGACCACUGCUGGAAUAUGCUGUGUUGUAACAUUCUACUAGGUGAAAGAAUAAACAAUCCAGAAAAAGAGAAUGAACUCUUGAACAAAAACUAUGAUAAGCUGCAUAAGUGUCUUCUGUAUGACCCAUGAACAGCAAUGGAAAUCAAAGGAACAGCAAAUGAAACUGCAAAUUGCUAAACUAGAGAUGGCUAUCAAAUCUGAUUUAGCAGACAAAAAUGCAAUCCUUGACAAGAUCAAAGUAGAAAGAGCAUAUGGGACAGGAGGUUAAACAAGAAAGGCUAGAAGAUGAUAAGGUGGAGAUGGCUGAAGAAAUUUAACAGGAGACAGAAAAGCUCUCACAUCUGUCAGAGGAGCAGUUAGCUGACCAAACAUCAAUUACUUCUGGAAAUGAGAGAGAAAUAACUGAAGGAUUGGAACCAGAAGGAAGUUGAAAAAUCUGGAUUAAAAUUACAUCACUUGGUUUCACAAAGUCAUGGAUUACAUCAGAUGAAAGAAUACAGCAGCUGAGUGUAGAAUGCAGGUGAAGCAAUUUCCCUGCAGAGGACAAUCCACUGUCACUUCCAAAGCCAGCUGGUGCUCAGAGGAGUGACUGUAACCAUAGAACUGUGCUCAGUGAUACCCCAGAAGAUGAGCAGAACUUGAACGUGAAGAUACUGAUUAUGCUGAAUCUGUUUGAAAAAUAUAUUCCUGAAGCAAAGAAAUACCAUUGAACAAGCCAUUGGUGUAAAAACGGUACUGUCCUCUGAAGUCUGCUCUGAAGGUGACAGUUCACUGAGUGAUUUGUUCAAGAAUAUACAAAAUGCUUUGGAUCUCUAAGAGUAGCAUCCAAUCUUAGGUCUUUCAACAGGUUUUUGAUUCACAAGGUGACAGUGCAGUAAUUGGAAAGCUCAAAGGAGCACUGGAAGCCCUCCAUGCCUGCCCUCAGCCGAGAGGGGAAUGCAAAGAUGACUACGAGGCAUGAAAGGAAGUUUGCCUACGCAAGAGCCUUCUCCCAGUGUAAAUGCAUGCUCGAUAGUGCAUCAAAGAUGAGAUCUUUGUAAUUCCUGCAGUAUAUUUAAUGUAUAAUUUAUAUGAAAAGGACGCUUGAUUUGUAGUUGUAAAGUUUUGUAUACUUUUCAGUCUGUUUGUUUUUAUAUUUCCCCCCUAAGGCUAAGAAUAUCUCCACAAUGGACAACGCCUUGUAAAUAAUUAAUACCUACAUGAUUGAACGACGUGCUUUAUUUGCAUUUUUAAGAUUUUUUUUCCUACAUAAAACAGUAAUAAAAAUGCAAGUCAAAAUUUUAAUUUUUAAUAAAAAAACCAUAAGCCUUAGAAAACUGAUUAAAAAUACUUUUAUGUUAUCCCUAAUCACCCCGUUAAAUGGAAUGCCUGUGAUUAGCCUCAUUAAGAAUUUUAUACUGUGAAGAUUUUAUUAAAAGCAAUAUAUGAAAAUUACUUGGA